GAUGAACGCUAGCUACAGGCUUAACACAUGCAAGUCGAGGGGCAGCAUGACCUAGCAAUAGGUUGAUGGCGACCGGCGCACGGGUGAGUAACACGUAUCCAACCUGCCGAUUAUUCCGGGAUAGCCUUUCGAAAGAAAGAUUAAUACUGGAUAGCAUAACGAGAAGGCAUCUUCUUGUUAUUAAAGAAUUUCGAUAAUCGAUGGGGAUGCGUUCCAUUAGUUUGUUGGCGGGGUAACGGCCCACCAAGACAUCGAUGGAUAGGGGUUCUGAGAGGAAGGUCCCCCACAUUGGAACUGAGACACGGUCCAAACUCCUACGGGAGGCAGCAGUGAGGAAUAUUGGUCAAUGGACGAGAGUCUGAACCAGCCAAGUAGCGUGAAGGAUGACCGCCCUAUGGGUUGUAAACUUCUUUUAUAUGGGAAUAAAGUGGGCCACGUGUGGCUUUUUGUAUGUACCAUACGAAUAAGGAUCGGCUAACUCCGUG
rnacentral:rRNA from 1 species